AUACUUGGUAAAUUUUUAGAAAUGUAGUUGAAUCUUAGUUUUAGAUAAAUUUUCUUACGCAGUUAUGCACCGUUUGAAUUAAGUUGUUUUCCAUUAGAGAUCGUUUAUAUUUUUAGGAUAAAAGGAAAAAUAGACAAUUUUAUUUCACACGGUUUGAUUGCAGAACAAGUGAGCCAUAUGUGAAUUAGUAACAAUAUUAUAUUAUUGAAGUAUAUUCUUAUAACUAUACGAUUUUCAUGGCAGAGAACCAUCCAUAUACAAAAAAAGACAAGUUUACUAAAUUUUGCUCUGAAAAAUGAAGAAAACGAAAUAUU